rnacentral:rRNA from 1 species
UACGGUAGGGGGCAAGCGUUGUCCGGAAUUAUUGGGCGUAAAGAGCGUGUAGGCGGUCCGGUAAGUCAGCUGUGAAAGUCAAGGGCUCAACCCUUGAAAGCCGGUUGAUACUGUCGGGCUAGAGUCCGGAAGAGGCGAGUGGAAUUCCCGGUGUAGCGGUGAAAUGCGCAGAUAUCGGGAGGAACACCAAUGGCGAAGGCAGCUCGCUGGGACGGUACUGACGCUGAGACGCGAAAGCGUGGGGAGCAAACAGG